rnacentral:tRNA from 1 species
UCUAUUAUGGCAGAUUAGUGCAAUGGAUUUAAGCCCCAUAUAUAAAUUAUUUUUUAUUAGAA